AAAGUCGUAACAAGGUCUCCGUUGGUGAACCAGCGGAGGGAUCAUUACAAGUAGAGUUUACGAACUCUUAAACCCUUUGUGAACCUUACCUAUCGUCAGUUGCUUCGGCGGGAGGCCCCUGGGAGGGGCCCCGGGGCCCGGCCUGAGCCGGGCUCCCGCCGGAGGAGCGCAAACCAAACUCUUGCUGUACCUCAGUGGAACAUCCGAGUUAAAACAAAAAACAAGUUAAAACUUUCAACAACGGAUCUCUUGGUUCUGGCAUCGAUGAAGAACGCAGCGAAAUGCGAUAAGUAAUGUGAAUUGCAGAAUUCAGUGAAUCAUCGAAUCUUUGAACGCACAUUGCGCCCGCCAGUAUUCUGGCGGGCAUGCCUGUUCGAGCGUCAUUUCAACCACUCAGGCCCUGGUGCCUGGCGUCGGGGCUUCUUAUAGAUCCCCUAGAAUCAGUGGCGGACCCGCCGCGGCUCCGAGCGUAGUAGUAAAAUAUCUCGCUAUGGAGGUCCGUGGGGGGCUUACCGGCCGUAAAAGCUUUCUCUCACGAGAAAAUUCUCAAGGUUGACCUCGGAUCAGGUAGGAAUACCCGCUGAACUUAAGCAUAUCAAUAAGCGGAGGAAAAGAAACCAACAGGGAUUGCCCCAGUAACGGCGAGUGAAGCGGCAACAGCUCAGAUUUGAAAUCUGGUCCCCAGGGCCCGAGUUGUAAUCUGUAGAGGAUGUUUCUGGCAAGGCGCCGUCCGAGUUCCCUGGAACGGGACGCCGGAGAGGGUGAGAGCCCCGUACAGGCGGACGCCGAGCCUCUGUGAAACUCCUUCGACGAGUCGAGUAGUUUGGGAAUGCUGCUCAAAGCGGGAGGUAAAUUUCUUCUAAAGCUAAAUAUAGGCCAGAGACCGAUAGCGCACAAGUAGAGUGAUCGAAAGAUGAAAAGCACUUUGAAAAGAGGGUUAAAAAGCACGUGAAAUUGUUGAAAGGGAAGCGCCUGUGACCAGACUCGCGCCCGGCGUAUCAUCCGGCGUUCUCGCCGGUGCACUACGCCGGGCUCGGGCCAGCAUCGGUUCUGGUGGGGGGAUAAAGGCGGCGGGGAUGUGGCUCCCCCGGGAGUGUUAUAGCCCGCCGCUCAAUGCCCUCGCCGGGACCGAGGACC
rnacentral:rRNA from 1 species